rnacentral:rRNA from 1 species
GAGCGCCCCGCAAGGGGAGCGGCAGACGGGAGAGUAACACGUGGGAACGUGCCCUUCAGUUCGGAACAACCCAGGGAAACUUGGGCUAAUACCGGAUACGUCCGAAAGGAGAAAGAUUUAUCACUGAAGGAUCGGCCCGCGUCUGAUUAGCUAGUUGGUGAGGUAACGGCUCACCAAGGCGACGAUCAGUAGCUGGUCUGAGAGGAUGAUCAGCCUCACUGGGACUGAGACACGGCCCAGACUCCUACGGGAGGCAGCAGUGGGGAAUAUUGGACAAUGGGCGCAAGCCUGAUCCAGCCAUGCCGCGUGGAUGAUGAAGGCCCUAGGGUUGUAAAGUCCUUUCGGCGGGGAAGAUAAUGACGGUACCCGCAGAAGAAGCCCCGGCUAACUUCGUGCCAGCAGCCGCGGUAAUACGAAGGGGGCUAGCGUUGCUCGGAAUCACUGGGCGUAAAGCGCACGUAGGCGGCUUUUUAAGUCAGGGGUGAAAUCCUGGAGCUCAACUCCAGAACUGCCCUUGAUACUGAGAAGCUUGAGUCCGGGAGAGGUGAGUGGAACUGCGAGUGUAGAGGUGAAAUUCGUAGAUAUUCGCAAGAACACCAGUGGCGAAGGCGGCUCACUGGCCCGGUACUGACGCUGAGAUGCGAAAGUGUGGGGA